UACGGGGGGGGCAAGCGUUGUUCGGAAUUACUGGGCGUAAAGGGCGCGUAGGCGGCCACCGCAAGUCGGUUGUGAAAUCUCCGGGCUUAACCCGGAAAGGUCAAUCGAUACUGCGGGGCUAGAGUGCAGAAGGGGCAACUGGAAUUCUCGGUGUAGCGGUGAAAUGCGUAGAUAUCGAGAGGAACACCUGCGGCGAAGGCGGGUUGCUGGGCCGACACUGACGCUGAAGCGCGAAAGCCAGGGGAGCGAACGGG
rnacentral:rRNA from 1 species